rnacentral:rRNA from 1 species
UGGGUAACCUGCCUCAAAGAGGGGAAUAGCCUCCCGAAAGGGGAGAUUAAUACCGCAUAAUAUGUUUAAGUCGCAUGACUUUAACAUCAAAGGAUUUUUCUUUUAAGAAAUUCCACUUUGAGAUGGACCCGCGGCGCAUUAGCUAGUUGGUGAGGUAACGGCUCACCAAGGCAACGAUGCGUAGCCGACCUGAGAGGGUGAUCGGCCACAUUGGAACUGAGACACGGCCCAGCUCC